rnacentral:rRNA from 1 species
UAGGGAAUCUUCCGCAAUGGACGCAAGUCUGACGGAGCAACGCCGCGUGAGUGAAGAAGGAUUUCGGUUCGUAAAACUCUGUCGUUAGAGAAGAACAGCGCAUAGAGUAACUGUUAUGCGUGUGACGGUAUCUAACCAGAAAGCCACGGCUAACUACGUGCCAGCAGCCGCGGUAAUACGUAGGUGGCAAGCGUUGUCCGGAUUUAUUGGGCGUAAAGCGAGCGCAGGCGGUUAGAUAAGUCUGAAGUUAAAGGCAGUGACUCAACCAUUGUAGGCUAUGGAAACUGUUUAACUUGAGUGCAGAAGGGGAGAGUGGAAUUCCAUGUGUAGCGUUGAAAUGCGUAGUUAUAUGGAGGAACUCCGGUAGCGAAAGCGUCUCUCUGGUCUGUAACUGUCGCUGAGGCUCGCAAGCGUGGGGAGCGAACAGG